GGUAACUUGAAUACUAGAUAUUUGUUUCCAAACACACUCCAAGAUUCUAGAACGAUCUGCCAUGUGAAACCACCACCAAAACUUCAGCAAUAGCUAUCUGAAAUCAAAUCAUCGCCUCCUCUGUUUCCCACCGAAGCUCUAUCAGAAAAACCCAGCAACUAAUUCAUCGUUGAUUCCGCCGUGAAUCACCACUGACCACCACCAAAAUUCAUCGUUGAAGGCUAAUGAGCCCAAGGUGUUCGGUGAUAUGCCUGAGACAACUAAAUUAUUUGGGUGAAUUUGGUACAGUAUAAGCAAAAUUCAAAAGUUAAUUAAGAAGACGAGGAACCAAAAUACCUACGUUGGCUACCCUUUGUUUUCCUCGCAUUACUGAGGUAACAACAUGUUGGUUUCAAGGGUGCUGGCAAGAGUGUUGUUUGUUCUCCGUCUGCCGAAGUUGAAUGGAAGAAAUUGUAUGGAAUCAGAGGAGAAUUUAGAGCACCAGUGGAAAUACUGGCCCUAAUCGAGAAAGAAUAACUAAGAAAAGCGGGGAACCAAAAAACAUGAAGGGUGGCCUUCUUUCCUUGCUAUCCAUAGGGGAAUCAAGACAAAUGCUAUGACAUCAGAUUACCACCAUUUUGCCCCUUAGGUACCAUGAAAAUAAGGUGAUAAAAUUUAUUUUUUGAGCUUACUUUUAUAUCCCUUGUUUAUAUUAAACAAUUGGAUAAAUUUGAAGAAUCGUGGAAAGAAUAUUAUUGAGCAUUCAAAUUGCUCUUGAUUCACUGGUGCCUCAUCUUCUUGGAUGAUUAAAAGAUGUUCUACUAUAUGCAUUUAAGUUUAAACCUUAGUAUCUUUAUGCAUUUAUCAUUCUUUUAUGAAGUUUGUGUUUAUUAAUCUUUUUUAAGAGAGUUAAAGGUGGACUUCUUUUCCUUAUUGAGAUGUUUCUAUAAAAGACCAUGAAGGAGGAAGGUGCUUAUGGCUAAAAUUUUUGUAAGAAGACUUGAAAAGUCGACAUUCCCUAUACAUAGAGUAAUCUAUUCUCUUUUUAAUUAAGGUGGUAGUUAUACACAAACACUAAUGUCAUCACUUUAAUUUAUAUGGUUCGUGUAUCUUUUUCGAGGAGCUAAAUUUUUUGAAAGCCUUUAAUAUUCGAUAACUGUUGUAACUUCUACGGCUCUACUUUUGAGACUUCAAGUUCGAUGAAAGUGUACAGGAACUACAUUGUCUUUUAAUUUGUAGCACCAAAAUGAUAGAUUUUAUAAGUGAUUCGAUAAUGGUCGAGGUUGUUAAAGGUAAUAUAGUUUUCAUAACUGUUUGGUUGAGUUAUCAUGCUAUAACAGAGAUAUUGCCAAUAAAAUAAAAUAAAAAAACAUUACCAAUAUGUUAAUGAAUAGAGAUUAAGAUGAUUCUUAUUGGAUAGGUUAGAGAUUAAAAGAAUUAAGUAAACAAAAAGAAGAAGAAAGGGAUAACCGGUUGAUACAAAAUUUGUUUCAUCAACCAAAUCCUGCUGAAGAAACUUGAGGAUUAAGAGCCCGUUUGGAUUGGCUUAAGUUGUUUUCAGCUUUUUUGAGUGUUUGGCUGGUCAGCUUAUAAGCCAUUUUGUGCUUAAAAUAAGCCCAAAAAAAUAAUUGGGCCCAUUUGGCUUAGCUUAUCUAAAGCAGCUUAUAAGCUGUUUUCAGCUUAUCAUCCAAACAGGCUCUAAUAUUCCUUUGUGGUAAUAUUUGUAGCUUGAUGACAAUUCUGAAACUCUGGUAAUGCACAAACAACAAUGAGCUGCCUCUUAAUGAAUAAGUACUCCAACUCAAAGCUAUUUUCAUAUGAGAAUUCCAAUUUUUAAAGAUAUUGCAUCUUCUGUGAACAGAAGAAAUUACUACAUCGUACAAAUUCUUCUAUCACCUUGACCAUGAGGGAACUGUGGAACUACUAAACAUUUUGUAGGGUCUCUGCCAAUAGUUGUUCACUGUCUAGCAAUACUGGAAAUGGUUUCAGUUAAUUACUUUUUGAGCUUCUGAAGUUAUGAAUGGUAUAUGUUACUUACGAGAUCGUUUCUUUCAAGGGAAAUGUGAUAUAGAUGCAGCUUUUCAAGAGUAAUAUGCCUUAUUGUGUCGAGGUAAUUUGGUUGGCAAAACCUUUCUAUUUUAUGCCUUUUAGGGUUAAUGGAGUCCAAAUGGAAUAACAAGAACUAUUGACGACAAAAGAGAAUACUUUAGUUGUCCCAAAGGGAGUAUAUUGCUAUAAAAAGCAUUGGAGGCAUAUACGUCAGAUACUUUCUUGCUACAUCAGUUAAUUCUCUCUAUGAGAUCUUAUUAAAUGUAUUGUGAAGGGUUCUUAGAGGCCAAAAUAGUUGUCAAAUCAGGAAAAACCAUGCAUAUGUCCUCUGAGAAAUUCUUUAUAGUUGGGAAAAUGUUAAUUUUUUUUUCUUGGACCUUCACCUAUUCAAGAAGUUUCUGAUUUUCUUACAAGGGAAAUAUACAGGAAGUCUGAUUCUCCUAGCCUAAUAGAUUAAUAUAAUUUGGUGAAAUCUUCUUCUCCUCAACUUGUGCAACAGCCCCUGUCUCAACUAGAAUAUAUUGAUGUAGGCAAAGAAUUGGAAGGUGGAAAAAGUAAGAAGGUUUGUUAUUCAGUGUUGAUGAAAGCAGUAGCUAAUUUUCAUCAGUUUACUUGUUUGUCUUAAAUAUUUACUCUAUUUGUUUUUUAGCAGAACGGUCAAAGAAUGAAUCACAUCAAAUCUUGGUUGUUUACUUCAUGACGGCUAGAUUACAAUAAGCAACAUCAGCUAUAGUGCUCAAGACGUGAAAUUCCUUUCUGGUGAUGUGCUGUUUCAGCCUUUCAGUUGAACAACUCGGGACAAAAUAAUUCCUCAUGUACUGUCAUGGUUUACUGAUGAGGCUGCGGAAGAUGAUGAAUCUGAAGAUAUGGAAGAUGUUAUUAAAAAAGAUGGAGAUGAGGAUGAAGAGAAGUGACAGAAAGGUUGUACUAGCUUGGGGAAAAAAGUGAGGUUGAUUAAAUCUACUGCUAAGUUUUUCUAUAUGAUAAGAUUGUUAUAUUUUUAAGUAGCGUUCUAGCAAAGCAUACUUUUGAACUCAAAGUUUAUUUUAGACAUAGUUGCCGGCACAAUUUAUUCCCUGAAGCCCAUUAUCCAAAUGGAUAGAUCAUAUUGUAAAUUUUAUAACAGAAAAGGAAAAAAAUGUUUCCAUGUAGGGCACAGGCCCGUGCCUUGCACGGGCUUCAACCGUCUAGUAUAUAUAUAUGUUGGGAUAUAUACUAUUAA